rnacentral:rRNA from 1 species
UACAGAGGGUGCAAGCGUUGUCCGGAAUCACUGGGCGUAAAGGGCGCGUAGGCGGCUCAUGAAGGCUGUGGUGAAAGUCCGGGGCUCAACCUCGGAUCGGCCGUGGCGACUCGUGGGCUGGAGCACUGUAGAGGCGGGUGGAAUUCCGGGUGUAGCGGUGGAAUGCGUAGAGAUCCGGAAGAACACCAGUGGCGAAGGCGGCCCGCUGGGCAGUGGCUGACGCUGAGGCGCGACAGCGUGGGGAGCAAACAGGG